rnacentral:rRNA from 1 species
UACGAAGGGGGCUAGCGUUGCUCGGAAUCACUGGGCGUAAAGCGCACGUAGGCGGCUUUUUAAGUCAGGGGUGAAAUCCUGGAGCUCAACUCCAGAACUGCCUUCGAUACUGGCGAUCUCGAGUUCGGGAGAGGUGAGUGGAACUGCGAGUGUAGAGGUGAAAUUCGUAGAUAUUCGCAAGAACACCAGUGGCGAAGGCGGCUCACUGGCCCGAUACUGACGCUGAGGUGCGAAAGCGUGGGGAGCAAACAGGG